rnacentral:misc_RNA from 1 species
GGAGAACCUGCGGCUGGAUCACCUCCUUUCUAUGGAGAAAUCUAGCAAACAUGACGUUUGACUAGUACAAAGAUGCAAAGCAUCUAUAAAAAUUACAACUUGCUCAAAGGUUACUUAAUGAGUAUUGAUUCUGUUCAAUUUUGAGGGAUUUUCCUUCAAGAAUAUAUGGGCUUAUAGCUCAGCUGGUUAGAGCGCACGCCUGAUAAGCGUGAGGUCGAUGGUUCGAGUCCAUUUAAGCCCACCAUAUUGUUCUUUGAAAAUUGCAUAUUAAUAAUUGUAUAAAAUACAACAAAGCCAAGAAUAAAUAUUCUUUGUGAAUGAUUAAUAUAACCAGUUUUGUAUAUCAAAACUUAAAAAGGUCAAGCUACAAAGGGCGCAAGGUGAAUGCCUUGGCAUCAGGAGCCGAUGAAGGACGUGAUAAGCUGCGAUAAGCUUCGGGUAGGCGCACAUAGCCAGAGAUCCGGAGAUUU